UAAGGAAUAUUGGACAAUGGACGCAAGUCUGAUCCAGCCAUGCCGCGUGAAGGAUGAAUGCCCUCUGGGUUGUAAACUUCUUUUAUAGGGGAAGAAAGAUACUUUUUUUAAGGUAGUUGACGGUACCCUAUGAAUAAGCACCGGCUAACUCCGUGCCAGCAGCCGCGGUAAUACGGAGGGUGCAAGCGUUAUCCGGAUUUACUGGGUUUAAAGGGUGCGUAGGCGGGCAUGUAAGUCAGUGGUGAAAUACCGGAGCUUAACUUCGGAACUGCCAUUGAUACUAUAUGUCUUGAAUUAUCUGGAGGUAAGCGGAAUAUGUCAUGUAGCGGUGAAAUGCUUAGAUAUGACAUAGAACACCAAUUGCGAAGGCAGCUUACUACAUAUAAAUUGACGCUGAGGCACGAAAGCGUGGGGAUCAAACA
rnacentral:rRNA from 1 species